CCUACGGGAGGCAGCAGUUAGGAAUCUUCCACAAUGGGGGCAACCCUGAUGGAGCGACACUGCGUGAAGGAUGAAGGCCUUCGGGUCGUAAACUUCUAAAAGAGGGACGAAUGAUGACGGUACCUCUUGAUUAGCACCGGCUAACUCCGUGCCAGCAGCCGCGGUAAUACGGAGGGUGCGAGCGUUAUCCGGAAUCACUGGGCGUAAAGGGCGCGUAGGCGGCUUGUUAAGUCCGUUGUCAAAUGUCGAGGCUUAACCUCGGAACGGCAGUGGGUACUGGCAGGCUGGACGGCUGGAGAGGCGAGUGGAAUUACCAGUGUAGCGGUGGAAUGCGUAGAUACUGGUAGGAACACCCAUGGCGAAGGCAGCUCGCUGGACAGCUCGUGACGCUGAGGCGCGAAAGUGUGGGGAGCAAACCGGAUUAGAUACCCUUGUAGUC
rnacentral:rRNA from 1 species